GCUGUGACUCAAUAGUAGAGGGUCUGCUUUGCAUGCAGAACUUCCCAGGUUCAAUCCUUGGUAUCACCU
rnacentral:tRNA from 1 species